rnacentral:rRNA from 1 species
UACGUAGGGGGCAAGCGUUAUCCGGAUUUACUGGGUGUAAAGGGGGCGCAGACGGCGAUGCAAGCCAGGAGUGAAAGCCCGGGGCCCAACCCCGGGACUGCUCUUGGAACUGCGUGGCUGGAGUGCAGGAGGGGCAGGCGGAAUUCCAUGUGUAGCGGUGAAAUGCGUAGAUAUAUGGAGGAACACCGGUGGCGAAAGCGGCUCUCUGGCCUGUAACUGACACUGAGGCUCGAAAGCGUGGGGAGCAAACAGG